UACGUAGGGCGCAAGCGUUGUCCGGAAUUAUUGGGCGUAAAGAGCUCGUAGGCGGCCAGUUGCGUCCGCUGUGAAAUCCCGGGGCUUAACCCCGGGCGUGCAGUGGAUACGGGCUGGCUAGAGGCAGGCAGGGGAGAACGGAAUUCCCGGUGUAGCGGUGAAAUGCGCAGAUAUCAGGAGGAACACCGGUGGCGAAGGCGGUUCUCUGGGCAUGUCCUGACGCUGAGGAGCGAAAGUGUGGGGAGCGAACAGG
rnacentral:rRNA from 1 species